GGAUCAUUACUGAGUGAUUACAACUCUCCAACCCUUGCGAAUCUACCGUGUUGCCUCGGCGGGAGGCGACGGGGAGGUUGGCGGAACUUCGCCCGGCCCUGGAGCCGGGGAUCUGACCCCACCCUUCCCCGCGCGCCGGAACCCCGCCGGAGGACCCACCAAACUCUUGACUUACAAUGUAUCUCUGAGACACUACCAAAAUAGUUAAAACUUUCAACAACGGAUCUCUUGGUUCUGGCAUCGAUGAAGAACGCAGCGAAAUGCGAUAAGUAAUGUGAAUUGCAGAAUUCAGUGAAUCAUCGAAUCUUUGAACGCACAUUGCGCCCGCCAGCAUUCUGGCGGGCAUGCCUGUUCGAGCGUCAUUAAAUCCCUCAGGCCCCCCGGGCCUGGCGUUGGGAGACUGCAUUCCCGCAGCUCCCCAAAGUCAGUGGCGGAGCUGGUUCGCACCGUAAGCGUAGUAGAAAUCCUCUCGCUUGCGCGGUCGUGCCGGCCCCUGCCGUAAAACACCCCAUCUCAAGUGGUUGACCUCGGAUCAGGUAGGAAUACCCGCUGAACUUAAGCAUAUCAAUAAGCGGAGGAAAAGAAACCAACAGGGAUUGCCCCAGUAACGGCGAGUGAAGCGGCAACAGCUCAAAUUUGAAAGCUGGCCUUCGGGUCCGCAUUGUAAUUUGCAGAGGAUGCUUCUGGCGCGGUGCCUUCCGAGUUCCCUGGAACGGGACGCCUUAGAGGGUGAGAGCCCCGUACGGUCGGACACCAAGCCUAUGUGAAGCUCCUUCGACGAGUCGAGUAGUUUGGGAAUGCUGCUCUAAAUGGGAGGUAAAUUUCUUCUAAAGCUAAAUACCGGCCAGAGACCGAUAGCGCACAAGUAGAGUGAUCGAAAGAUGAAAAGCACUUUGAAAAGAGGGUUAAAUAGCACGUGAAAUUGUUGAAAGGGAAGCGUUUGCGAUCAGACCUUYGCCGGGCGGAUCAUCCGGUGUACUCACCGGUGCACUUCGCCCGGCGGCUGCCAGCAUCGGUUUCCGCGGGGGGAUAAAAGCGGGGGGAACGUAGCUCCCUCGGGAGUGUUAUAGCCCCCCGCAUAAUGCCCUCGCGGGGACCGAGGACCGCG
rnacentral:rRNA from 1 species